rnacentral:lncRNA from 1 species
AUUUUCGUAAAAAAAUUCAUUUUGUUUAUUAUUUUUUUUCAUUUUUUUCACUAUUUUCACUUUUCUCACCUUUUUCAAUUGUGAAUGUAUUAAAUAUGAAUAUUCGCAUAAAACCAAUUCAAACAAUUUCAAUAAAAGUGUUUUAUUAAUAUUUGUUAAAAUUAAAACAAGAAGGGAGCGUGUUAGAAAAAAAAAAAAAAAAAAAAAAAAAAAAAAAAAAUUUUUUACAGAAAUGAGAUAAAUCACCACAAAUAUAAUACCACUGUAACUGCCACUGUUAUUGCUACUACUACACUUAUUAGCAACAAUGUUUAUGCAGAACCCGAAUUCGAAUAAUAUGUUUGGAUCUUUUAACAAUCAAGGGAAUCAAGCAAAUAAAGGUUUGUUUGGAAACACAGGUUUACAGUCUAAUUUGGCAGGGGGUACAGCCCAGAGUUCUCUUUUUGGAGCUCCAAAAACACAGCAAACAAAUAACAAUAUGAUGAAUAAGAGCAUAUUUAAUAUGAACCCUACUGGUACUACUACUAAUAAUAAUGCAUUAGGUGGUGGGAAAGGUUUGUAUGAUAGUAUGAACACUCAAUCUAAUUUAGGUAACAAAAGUAUAUUUAAUACGACAGGUGUAGGUGGUGUUGGUUCUACUAAUCAAAGUAAUAUGGGUAUAGGUGGUAGUAAUAAUAGUUUAUUUAUGAAUACAAGUAAUACAAAUAAUACAAAUAAUACAAAUGUUAGAAAUAUAUUCGGCACUACAUCAAAUUUAAAUACGCAAGGAACAAACUUAACAAAUAAAAAUAUGUUUGGUGGGUUACAAACAACAAACCAGAAUACACAGUCAAACAAUAUGUUUAGCAAUUUAUUAUCAAAUCAAACAAAUUCCGCAAGUAUGUUUAAUAAUUUAAAUGCAACGAACCAAAAUAAAGGUGGUGGUUUAUUUGGUAGUACGUCUGCAUCUUCUACUAUGAAUACUAAUCAGAAUUCAACAGUAGGCAGUAAUAUAUUUAAUAAUCCGCUUAGUAGUGGUUCUACUACAUCAGGCUUAGGACAGAACAAACCUGGUGGUAGUAGUAUAUUUGGGACGCAACAACAACAAACAAAUCAGGGCAUGCUAGGCAAUACUAUUAAUUCCAAUAGUGGUAGUAGUAUAUUUGGUAGCCCUUUAGGAAUGAAUCAGAAUAAGAAUACGAAUUUAUUUGGNNNNNNNNNNACUGGUGGUUCUACUACAUUAGGCUUAGGACAAAACAAACCAGGUGGAGGUAGUAUAUUUGGGACUCAACAACAACAAACAAAUCAGGGUAUGUUAGGAAAUACUAAUACUGCUAGUAGUAGUCUAUUUAAUUCAAGGGGGUUAGCAAAUCAAAAUAAUGUCGGAACUAAUAAUAUGCUAUCAUCAUCAAUGUCACAAUCAAAUCCUCAAAAUAAAUAUACAAAUAUUUUUGGAUCUACAGCAGGAGGUAAUCUUGGUAAUAUAACAGGAACUGGCAGUUCUAGUCAAUCUGGUUUGACAUUAGGAGGGUUGUCCGGCGGUUUGACUGGUGGUACUAGUCAAUCUGGUUUGACAUUAGGAGGGUUGUCUAGCGGUUUGACUGGUGGGAUGACUGGUGGUAUGUCUAGCGGUUUGACUGGUGGAAUGGCUAGCGGAUUGACUGGUGGGUUGACUGGAAAAUUAACUGGUACAGGUGGACAGACAGGAUUAGGGACACUAAGUGGUACUGGGACAGGCAUGCUGAAUUCUACUAGUAACAAUAUAUUUGGAAAUUUAUCAGCUAAUCAAAACACAGUUAAUUUAAGUGAUAAUAAGAAUUUGUUAGGUGGUAGUACAUCUGGUCAAUCAGUUUUUUCCCUUGGUGCAGGAAAUACAAGUGGUAGUGCAUCUAUGAGUGGUUUGGGUUUAGGAACAUCGUUAACGUCUGGUGUGGGUUCUACUUUUGGUCAAAAUUUGGGACAAGGUUUAGUUCAGAAUUUAGGGCAAGGCUUAGGCCAAGGUUUAGGGCAAAAUAUGGGUUCAAAUAUGACCCCAAGUUUCGGGCAAAGUUUAGGUUCUAGUAUGACUUCAAGUUUGGGUCAAAAUUUAGGUACUGGUUUAAGCCUUGGUAUAACGACUAAUAAGAUGGCCACUCCCAGUAGCACAAGUAUAUUUGGUAGUCAAGGAGGUUCUGGUUUAAAUACAACUUUAGGAACAACAUUAGGAAGUAAUGUUGGUGGUGGUACUGGUGGUGGUAGUACCAUUGGAGUUGGUACCGGUGGUAGUAGUACUGGUUUUGGUUUACCAGGUUUAACUACUAAUUCUGUUAGUACAACUGGUGCUAUUACUGACAGUAGUAAUAACAUGAAGAGUAUCUUAAGUAGCACCAAUAUAAGUGGUAGUAACAUAAAUUUAUUUUCAACUGACAACAGUAUACUUGGUGGUACAAAAAGCGGGAGUACACAAGACAAGUUAACAGGUAUAAGUAGUAGUGAUGGUAAAAAACAAAUGAUUAAUUUACUAGGGACACAAGAAUUAGAAAAAGUUAAAGAUCAAAAAGAUAUUAGUUAUAAAAAAGGUGAUACUAAGGGCAAUAGUGAUUCAUUAUUUAAAAAAUUAGAGGAAGAGUUAGUACUUUUAAAAAAAAAAAAAAAAAAAAAAAAUAAGAAAUUUUAUAAUGGAACUAUAACAAAAAGUAUAUAUAUGAAUGAAGAAUAUGAUUAUGAUAAUAUGUUUUUAUAUAAAGAACAUGGAGGUAAGAAAGCAUUAUAUAAUUAUAUUAAUGUGAUUAUAAAUGACAAUAUUAACAACAUACAAAAAACAACGUUUUCUUUGUUAAAUGAUCAUGAUUUAAAAAUGUGGGACAAUUUUAAAAACAACAUUUUUCAGAAUUUUAUUGAUUAUUUAGUUGAUUCUAAUCAAAAAAUAGAUCAGAAAACAAUUCAGAAUGAUAAUGUUUUAAAUAUAGAUAAGCAUGAAUUUCAAAUUCUUAUUUGGUUAUAUAAUAUGAACUCAUAUAAAAUAGAUUCUAUUUUAAUUACAAGUUUUUAUGAAUUAUUGUUAAAUGGAAUUAAUUUGAAUUCUUCCAAAUUUGUUAUUGAAAAUGCUGAUAGUUUGGUUUUUAAUAGUUUUGUAGAUAUAAAAGACCACUACUUUAUUCAUUUGAACACUCCUUCUUUUUUAACAAAUAUGAACAAAUAUAAGAUGCAGAGAGAAAAAGGAAGUAGUACUAGAAAUAUGAUUAAUGACGAGAAUGGUGUUGGUAUUCGUAGUAAACACGUGUUAGAUGUUGAUUAUAUUUACAAGCAGACUUUGAAAGACAUUUUGACUACCUUAUUGAAUAUGAAUUUUUCGAUAACAAAAGAGAAUAUUCAACGAUGGGGAAGCAUAGGAGGCGUAACGGAGGGUAUAACUAACAGUAGUGGUAAUGGUGCUAUUAGAAAGGGUGCUAUUGGUAAUGGCAUGAAUGGUAACGACUUGAGUGGUAACGGCUUGGGUGGUAACGGCUUGAGUGGUAACGGAGGAAAUGCCUCACAAAACAACAGCAACAUUGGUGAGACAGACAAUGCGAUAUACGAAAACUUGUUACUGAAUUAUCUAUUCUGCACGUUACAACAUUUGCAUAACAAGUAUUAUAGAAUAGAAUUGUGCAAUUAUGUACCGAAAGAUGUAAACGAGUUAGGCCCAUAUUUUAUGGACAAUAAAUCAAAUGAAAUAUUUUAUUAUUGUUAUGGGAAUUUUUUUAGUAACGAAAUGGAUAAAGAUAAUAACACAAUUAACUUUUUUUUUUAUUUAAUUAAUAUUAUGUUUCGUUGUGGUAAUUAUUUAGGUUUAUUACAGAUUAUAAAAAAUCCCAAAUUAAUAAAAAAAUUUAAUAUAGAUGAUUGUUUAAAAGAUUUUAUUAUAUUAUUAAUAAGGAUAUUGUUAUUGAUAUAUAAUAAGCGUAAUGAACGAAGUAUAUGUGAAAAUUUGGAUGUAAAGAUUGAUUGUAAUGACGUUUUAAAAAAAAGAAUUAAUACAUCCAAUAUAAUAAAUUAUUUCCAUACUAUUCUUUUAAAAUAUUUAAAUAAUAUAUAUACAUAUGACUUACUAUGUAUUAUGUUUGCUGAUAUAUUUUGUAAAAAAGGAAAUAUGUAUACGAACAAAGAAAAAAAGAUUAACAUGAGAAACAUUUAUUAUUAUUUGAAAAAAAGUAGAAAAGAAAAAAGGGAUCAAUUUGAGCUUAUACAGAAAAGAAAUAAAAUAAAAAAAAAUAAAAAAAAUGCAAGAGAAAAAAGUAAAAGCAUAGGACAAAGUGGUUUUUAUACUACUAGUGGUACUUCAGAUAAUGAUAUAGAAUUAAAUACUAGUAUGAUAAGGGAUUUAAACAAACGUAAUGAAUCGAAUGUUAUGUUUGAGGAUGUACAAGAGUAUAGGAAAAUUCGUUUAAAUAAUCGUGGUAGAAGUGGUAGUAAUGGCAUUGACUUGUUUUAUAACAGUGGGGAAAGAAAUGUGAAUGGCAUUCCUUAUGGUAGCAUUGAUGGUUAUAGUAGUGAUGGUAGUAUUAGUAUUAGUAGUAGUGGUGGUGGUGGUGGUGAUAUUAUUAGUAGUAGUUCUAAUUUGAUGUAUAACGAACAACAAGCUGGUUUAAAUGAAACAAAAACAAAUAAACGUAAGAGUUCUUUUUUAGAUAUAUUUGCGAAUAUAUUACAGAAACCUAAAAAAACGAAAGAUGACGAAAACUUAGCUAAUUUUCAGAUAGACGAUGAAAUAGAAAAAAUGAGUAAAGAAUUUAAACAAGUAAGUAAUACAGAUCAAUUAAAAAUUACUAAUAGAUAUGGAUAUAAUUAUGAAUGUUCAAAUAUUGAAACAACAAUAUGGAUUGAAUUGACUUUAUUUGUGUCACAAAAUUUUAAUUUAUGUAGUAGCAAAUAUCUUGAUAAUUUUGACAUUUUUGAUAGUAUUAUCUAUACUAGUGGUAAUGUUGAAGGUAAUAGUAGUAGUAGUAGUAGUAAUAAUAAUAAUAAUAAUGGUCACUAUAAUAGCAAAAGUGUUCGCGAUAGUAGUAGAGGAGAAAAUGCAACAUCACAAAACGAUACAAAACUGAGAAGAGAAUAUUUAAAUAGCAAAAUAGAAAGGCUAUUUAUGUGCAUAUCAAACUGUAUAAUUAAUGAAAAUAAGAAAUAUUUUUCGUUUUGUUCUAAAAUUCGAAUCGACGACGUAGUUAAUAAUUUUAUUGUUGUUGAUGGUAAGAUAGCUGAAAAGGUGAAAGGAAAUAUAGCAAAUGUGUUAAAUAAUAAUUUUUUAAUAUAUAUAAAAUUUUUUUAUUAUUUAUUAUUAGUAGGGAAUUUAUAUACUACCAUAGUAUUUUUAUCAUGUAUAUCUAGUAAUGUUCAGCGCAUUUUGUUAGUGUUAAGUAUUUUUUCACAUAAAAAUAAUAUUUUUGAAAAUGAAAAAUUAAAUAAUAUAAAAAUGGAAACGUUGAACAAUUUAAAGUUCCUCAAAAGAUAUGAAUCUACAGAUUUAGGAACUCAUGGGGAUAAUACUAUUAAUGGUUUUAUCCGUGUCAAUGAUAAUAACUCACAUUAUAAUUAUAAUAAUCACCAUACCACCGAUGCUAUAGUAAAUAGUAGCAACAAUGACACGAAUUCAAACCAAUAUAAUUUGGAAAAUACAAAUUUAAUUGUCCUAAGUAUGAACAACCGUGAUUUACCAUAUGAACAUUUUAUACUUCGAAACAAUAACAUGAGCAUAUUAUUAAAAAUAAGUUACUUACUUAAUUUAAAAAGUAGUAUAAGCAUAAAAUUGUUAAAAACUGUAGUACAUGAGAAUCAAGAUAUGUUAUUACAUGAAAAUGUGAUUGGUCAUAUAAAUAAUGAUGGGAAUAUUUGUUAUGGGAAGUUACAUGAUUUUUUAUUUUUAUUUAAAAAUGAAGUAAAAUUAAAAAAAGAUAUAAAAAGUUCAUUUUUAAUGUAUUAUAUUUUAUAUAAAAAAAAGUUUACUAACAGUAAUAUAUUAAGAAGAAAAAAAGUG